UCUGGUUUUGUUAGUUAUAGUUUUGUUUCGAAUGUUUUUUUCGCGGUGGCUGCGUUGUGAUCACCGAGCGCUAGCGUACUGUAGCUUAAUGUAAUCAAAUGGCGGAGAGGUUCUCUCGGUUUCACGAGGUUCGAGAUUAUCAGGGUAAAGGAGUUGACGUCUAUGAUGACAACCUCAUCGAGCUUGAGCAGUCUUCUCUUGCCGAGCCAAUUACACAGCACGCUAGUGGUGCCGGGCAUGAGGUAGAGGGCCGCCACUGCUGUCUCUGCUGGUGGCCACUGCCUCGGCGUGCGGGACUACUUGCUGGGGGCGCUUGUCCGUGUUGGUUCUACUUGGCACCUCCCUCCUUUCUCUCCUCCUGCGGGGUUGCACCUCCUAGGACAAUCUUGGCUACCAGCUGCUGCUGCGACAUGGAUGGAAAUCCGGACAGGGCCUGGGCAAGAAUGAGCAAGUAGUGUGGUGCAUGCGCCUAGAGCUGGCAGCUGAUGGGCGCCGACUUGAGCCGACUUGAGCCACUGAUGCCAUGCGCGCGAGGUGCCGCCGGUAUCCUGGUGGGUGUCUUCUCGGCAGCUGCUUUCUUGGACGAGCUGGACGGAAUGUUCAUCAUGGGUUCCUUUGAGCAGGUCCUGCAAGCCGGAGGUGAGCUGUGACACGCCGACUUGGUAUACAUCAGAGCAAGAGGCAUCUGCUGCAUAUUGACAGGAUGGGUGCUACCAUCUGUUGCCCAAGUGGAAGAUUCAUCACCACCAUGGAAGCUGCUGGAAGAGUUCCAAAGUUCAAGCAGAGUCUCUUAGCAGUGUUUUUAUCAUCAAAUUAUUCUCUGUUGUGAAUAAAGAAGUGUUGUCAACAGGG
rnacentral:misc_RNA from 1 species